rnacentral:rRNA from 1 species
AACGAACGCUGGCGGCAUGCCUAACACAUGCAAGUCGAACGAGACCUUCGGGUCUAGUGGCGCACGGGUGCGUAACGCGUGGGAAUCUGCCCUUCGGUUGGGAAUAACUGAGAGAAAUUUCAGCUAAUACCUUAUAAUGUCUUCGGACCAAAGAUUUAUCGCCGAGGGAUGAGCCCGCGUAGGAUUAGGUAGUUGGUGGGGUAAUGGCCUACCAAGCCGACGAUCCUUAGCUGGUCUGAGAGGAUGAUCAGCCACACUGGGACUGAGACACGGCCCAGACUCCUACGGGAGGCAGCAGUGGGGAAUAUUGGACAAUGGGCGAAAGCCUGAUCCAGCAAUGCCGCGUGAGUGAUGAAGGCCUUAGGGUUGUAAAGCUCUUUUACCCGGGAUGAUAAUGACAGUACCGGGAGAAUAAGCUCCGGCUAACACCGUG